rfam:Candidatus Rokubacteria bacterium 13_2_20CM_2_70_11 13_2_20cm_2_scaffold_1231, whole genome shotgun sequence.
CGGGGUGUGGCGCAGCCCGGUAGCGCACCUGCUUUGGGAGCAGGGGGCCGGAGGUUCAAAUCCUCUCACCCCGA